UGCUGGAGCGAAUAGAAGUGAGCAUGCAGGCAUGAGUAGCGAUAAUUAAUGUGAGAAUCAUUAACGCCGUAAACCCAAGGUUUCCUACGCGAUGCUCGUCAUCGUAGGGUUAGUCGGGUCCUAAGUCGAGUCCGAAAGGGGUAGACGAUGGCAAAUUGGUUAAUAUUCCAAUACCAACAUUAGUGUGCGAUGGAAGGACGCUUAGGGCUAAGGGGGCUAGCGGAUGGAAGUGCUAGUCUAAGGUCGUAGGAGGUUAUACAGGCAAAUCCGUAUAACAAUACUCCGAGAACUGAAAGGCUUUUUGAAGUCUUCGGAUGGAUAGAAGAACCCCUGAUGCCGUCGAGCCAAGAAAAGUUUCUAAGUUUAGCUAAUGUUGCCCGUACCGUAAACCGACACAGGUGGGUGGGAUGAGUAUUCUAAGGCGCGUGGAAGAACUCUCUUUAAGGAACUCUGCAAAAUAGCACCGUAUCUUCGGUAUAAGGUGUGGUUAGCUUUGUAUUAGGAUUUACUCCGAAAGCAAGGAAACUUACAACAAAGAGUCCCUCCCGACUGUUUACCAAAAACACAGCACUCUGCUAACUCGUAAGAGGAUGUAUAGGGUGUGACGCCUGCCCGGUGCUCGAAGGUUAAUUGAUGGGGUUAGCAUUAGCGAAGCUCUUGAUCGAAGCCCGAGUAAACGGCGGCCGUAACUAUAACGGUCCUAAGGUAGCGAAAUUCCUUGUCGGUUAAAUACCGACCUGCAUGAAUGGCGUAACGAGAUGGGAGCUGUCUCAAAGAGGGAUCCAGUGAAAUUGUAGUGGAGGUGAAAAUUCCUCCUACCCGCGGCAAGACGGAAAGACCCCGUGGACCUUUACUACAGCUUGACACUGCUACUUGGAUAAGAAUGUGCAGGAUAGGUGGGAGGCUUUGAGUAUAUGACGCCAGUUGUAUAUGAGCCAUUGUUGAGAUACCACUCUUUCUUAUUUGGGUAGCUAACCAGCUUGAGUUAUCCUCAAGUGGGACAAUGUCUGGUGGGUAGUUUGACUGGGGCGGUCGCCUCCCAAAUAAUAACGGAGGCUUACAAAGGUUGGCUCAGAACGGUUGGAAAUCGUUCGUAGAGUAUAAAGGUAUAAGCCAGCUUAACUGCAAGACAUACAAGUCAAGCAGAGACGAAAGUCGGUCUUAGUGAUCCGGUGGUUCUGUGUGGAAGGGCCAUCGCUCAAAGGAUAAAAGGUACCCCGGGGAUAACAGGCUGAUCUCCCCCAAGAGCUCACAUCGACGGGGAGGUUUGGCACCUCGAUGUCGGCUCAUCGCAUCCUGGGGCUGGAGCAGGUCCCAAGGGUAUGGCUGUUCGCCAUUUAAAGCGGUACGCGAGCUGGGUUCAGAACGUCGUGAGACAGUUCGGUCCCUAUCUGCCGUGGGCGUAAGAAGAUUGAAGAGAUUUGACCCUAGUACGAGAGGACCGGGUUGAACAAACCACUGGUGUAGCUGUUGUUCUGCCAAGAGCAUCGCAGCGUAGCUAAGUUUGGAAAGGAUAAACGCUGAAAGCAUCUAAGCGUGAAGCCAACUCUAAGAUGAAUCUUCUCUAAGCUCUCUAGAAGACUACUAGUUUGAUAGGCUGGGUGUGUAAUGGAUGAAAGUCCUUUAGCUGACCAGUACUAAUAGAGCGUUUGGCUUAUCUUU
rnacentral:rRNA from 1 species